GGAACCUCGGGGCGAGGGGCGCGAGGAAGACUGAGGGGGUUGGGGUUGUUCGGAAUUACUGGGCGUAAAGCGCACGUAGGCGGGUAUCCAAGUUGGGGGUGAAAUCCCGGGGCUCAACCCCGGAACUGCCUCCAAAACUGGGUGCCUAGAGUCCGAGAGAGGUGAGUGGAAUUCCCAGUGUAGAGGUGAAAUUCGUAGAUAUUGGGAAGAACACCAGUGGCGAAGGCGGCUCACUGGCUCGGUACUGACGCUGAGGUGCGACAGCGUGGGGAGCAAACAGGAUUAGAUACCCGAGUAGUC
rnacentral:rRNA from 1 species